CUGUUUAUCAAAAACAUGUCUUCUUGGUAAAAAUUUGAAGUCUGACCUGCCCACUGAUUGAUUUAUUGAAGGGCCGCGGUAUUUUGACCGUGCAAAGGUAGCAUAAUCAUUAGUCUUUUUAUUGAAGGCUUGUAUGAAUGGUUGGACGAGGUAUUGACUGUCUCUGUGUGAAUGAUUAUUAGAAUUUAACAUUUAAGUUAAAAGGCUUAAAUGUGCUUAAAGGACGAGAAGACCCUAUAGAGCUUUAUAUUAGUGUUGGUAUCAUGUAUGUAGUAGUUAUUGAAUGAAAUUAAUCUUAGUAUUUUGUUGGGGUGACAGGAAGAUAAAAAAAACUCUUUUUAAAAUAAAACAUUGAUGUAUGAAUAUUUGAUCCGUUAUUAAUGAUUAUAAGACUAAGUUACCUUAGGGAUAACAGCGUAAUCUUUUUCGAGAGUUCUUAUCGACAAAAAGGGUUGCGACCUCGAUGUUGGAUUAAGAGUAAUUUUGGGUGUAGAUGUUCAAAGUUUAGGUCUGUUCNACCUUUAAAUUCUUACAUGAUCUGAGUUCAAACCGGAGA
rnacentral:rRNA from 1 species